rnacentral:rRNA from 1 species
AUUGAACGCUGGCGGCAUGCUUUACACAUGCAAGUCGAACGGCAGCACGGGUGCUUGCACCUGGUGGCGAGUGGCGAACGGGUGAGUAAUAUAUCGGAACGUACCUUAUUGUGGGGGAUAACGCAGCGAAAGCUGUGCUAAUACCGCAUAAUCCCUUAGGGGGAAAGCGGGGGACCGUAAGGCCUCGCGCUAUUGGAGCGGCCGAUAUCAGAUUAGGUAGUUGGUGGGGUAAAGGCCUACCAAGCCGACGAUCUGUAGCUGGUCUGAGAGGACGACCAGCCACACUGGGACUGAGACACGGCCCAGACUCCUACGGGAGGCAGCAGUGGGGAAUUUUGGACAAUGGACGCAAGUCUGAUCCAGCAAUGCCGCGUGCAGGACGAAGGCCUUCGGGUUGUAAACUGCUUUGUACAGAACGAAAAGGCGUACUGGUUAAUACCUGGGCUCAUGACGGUACUGUAAGAAUAAGCACGGCUAACUACGUGCCAGCA